rnacentral:rRNA from 1 species
UACGUAGGGUCCAAGCGUUGUCCGGAUUUAUUGGGCGUAAAGAGCUCGUAGGCGGUUCGGUAAGUCGGAUGUGAAAACUCAGGGCUCAACCCGGAGACGCCAUCCGAUACUGCUGUGACUUGAGUCUGGUAGGGGAACACGGAAUACCUGGUGUAGCGGUGAAAUGCGUAGAGAUUUGGAGGAACACCAGUGGCGAAGGCGACUGUCUGGUCUGUAACUGACACUGAGGCGCGAAAGCGUGGGGAGCAAACAGG